UACGUAGGGGGCUAGCGUUGUCCGGAAUCAUUGGGCGUAAAGCGCGUGUAGGCGGUCCGGUAAGUCCGCUGUGAAAGUCGGGGGCUCAACCCUCGGAUGCCGAUCGAUACUGUCGGGCUAGAGUCCGGAAGAGGCGAGUGGAAUUCCUGGUGUAGCGGUGAAAUGCGCAGAUAUCGGAAGGAACACCAGUAGCGAAGGCGGCUCGCUGGGCCACACCUGACGCUGAGACGCGAAAGCUAGGGGAGCGAACAGG
rnacentral:rRNA from 1 species